rnacentral:tRNA from 1 species
GCGCUCUUAGUUCAGUUCGGUAGAACGCGAGUCUCCAAAACUCGAUGUCGUAGGUUCAAAUCCUACAGAGCGUG